UAACAUUAAAAGAUCUAGAUUACCACAUCAGAAGAAAUCAACACAAAUAGAAACUCAACAACUCAUAAAAUCAACAAAACUAGAAAAAGAAGGGCAUCCAAACUCAAAAAAAAUCAACAAAUUCACAAAUCUAGAAAAUCGAGGCAUAUGGCUUUGCUACAAAGUUGUUGGACUCCAGCCUCAUUGGAGCAUUAUCGAAGCACAGACUCCAGUGGUGGUUCGAGUUCUCAAGAAAUUUGAGGGUAUGCUAUUACUGUAAUCGUUCAACGUCACUUUCACCACCCAAAGAACUCACUGGAGCUAGAGGCUAUGGAGGGUUUGGCUGGAGUUGACUCUCACUCCAUCUUCAUCUGCUUCUUCAACUUAGAUUUCCCAGAGAAAUGAUUUGAUAAUCCCCUCUUGAAAUCACAAAAUUUAUUUCCAAUUUGUUUAUAGCUUGAACCAAUUACCAUAAAAUUGAAGAUUAAAUGUAAAAGAGAAAUUUGUACAAGAAAACAAAUAUACUCAAAUCUUUUUUUAUUUCUUGAUCGCUAUCAUCUAGAGCUCAAAUAGACGACGAACUAUCCUAAGAAUCAUUUGGAGAUUUCUCAGGCUGUAUCCUACGAGAAAUCAAGCACUUGCUUCCACCAUCAUCAUCGUCCUCCUUCAAGAAGAUGGAAGGCGAACCAUGGUGUUUAACUUGUGAAGAAGGAACGAUGAACGACGAUGAGAUCAAGGAAUCUGGGAAAAUCGAAAUGAGUGUUUAGAAACUGACCAGUGGCAUUUGCAAAUCUAAAGCUUGUAACCAUUGCAAAUCUCUCUCUUCCUUAUAAAACAAUAUCAGAUCCAAUCGCGGAGGUCUCAAUGUCGUUAUAAACUGACUAUGAAUUCUCAAAAUCAUCUCCAUUGGAUCGCACAUCAUCACCAUGCAUAAAGAUAGCCACCUUGCCAUUGUCGAACACUAUUCACCCCAUUGCCAUAGUCAAACUUUACAUCUUCAA
rnacentral:misc_RNA from 1 species